rnacentral:tRNA from 1 species
GCGGGUGUAGUUCAGUGGCAGAAUGAAAGCUUCCCAAGCUUUAGAUGUGGGUUCGAUUCCCAUCACCCGCUCAA